rnacentral:rRNA from 1 species
UUUGUUUGUCCCCCCCCCGGAAGUAGCAUAUCAAUAAGCGGAGGAAAAGAAACCAACAGGGAUUGCCCUAGUAACGGCGAGUGAAGCGGCAACAGCUCAAAUUUGAAAUCUGGCUCUUUCAGAGUCCGAGUUGUAAUUUGCAGAGGGCGCUUUGGCGUUGGCAGCGGUCCAAGUUCCUUGGAACAGGACGUCACAGAGGGUGAGAAUCCCGUACGUGGUCGCUGGCCUUCGCCGUGUAAAGCCCCUUCGACGAGUCGAGUUGUUUGGGAAUGCAGCUCUAAAUGGGAGGUAAAUUUCUUCUAAAGCUAAAUACUGGCCAGAGACCGAUAGCGCACAAGUAGAGUGAUCGAAAGAUGAAAAGCACUUUGGAAAGAGAGUCAAAUAGCACGUGAAAUUGUUGAAAGGGAAGCGCUUGCAGCCAGACUUGCCUGUAGUUGCUCAUCCGGGCUUUUGCCCGGUGCACUCUUCUGCGGGCAGGCCAGCAUCAGUUUGGGCGGUUGGAUAAAGGUCUCUGUCAUGUACCUCUCUUCGGGGAGGCCUUAUAGGGGAGACGUCAUACAACCAGCCUGGACUGAGGUCCGCGCAUUUAUGCUAGGAUGCUGGCGUAAUGGCUGUAAGCGGCCCGUCUUGAAACACGGACCAAGGAGUCUAACAUCUAUGCGAGUGUUUGGGUGUCAAGCCCGAACGCGUAAUGAAAGUGAACGGAGGUGGGACCCCAUUAGGGUGCACCAUCGACCGAUCCUGAUGUCUUCGGAUGGAUUUGAGUAAGAGCAUGGCUGUUGGGACCCGAAAGAUGGUGAACUAUGCUUGAAUAGGGUGAAGCCAGAGGAAACUCUGGUGGAGGCUCGCAGCGGUUCUGACGUGCAAAUCGAUCGUCAAAUUUGGGCAUAGGGGCGAAAGACUAAUCGAACUAUCAAGUAGCUGGUUCCUGC